rnacentral:rRNA from 1 species
GAUGAACGCUGGCGGCGUGCCUAAUACAUGCCAGUCGAGCGGACGGACGAGAAGUUUGCUUGUCUGAUGUUAGCGGCGGGCGGGUGAGUCACACGUGUAUAACCUACCUUUAAGACUGAGAUACCUUCGGGAAAGCGGAUCUAACACCGGAUAAUAUUUUGAACGGCAUGGUUCAAAAGAGAAAGGCCGUCUUGCUGUCACUUAUAGAUGUAUCCGCGCUGCAUUAGCUAGUUGGUAAGGUAACGGCUUACCAAGGCAACGAUGCUUAGCCGACCUGGGAGGGUGAUCGGCCACACGGGAACUGAGACACGGUCCGGACUCCUACGGGGGGCAGAAGUAGGGAAUCUGCAGCAGUGGGGGAAAGCCUAACGGAGCAACGCGGCGUGGGUGAUGAAGGUCUGCGGAUGGUAAAACGCUUUUAUUAGGAAAGAACAUAGGUGUAAGAAACUGUGCUCUUCUGAAGGUAACCUAAGAAGAAGGCCCGGCCAACUUAGUG